AUUGAACGCUGGCGGCAUGCCUUACACAUGCAAGUCGAACGGCAGCACGGGGGCAACCCUGGUGGCGAGUGGCGAACGGGUGAGUAAUGCAUCGGAACGUACCCGGAAGUGGGGGAUAACGUAGCGAAAGUUACGCUAAUACCGCAUAUUCUGUGAGCAGGAGAGUGGGGGACCGCAAGGCCUCACGCUUUCGGAGCGGCCGAUGUCGGAUUAGCUAGUUGGCGGGGUAAAGGCCCACCAAGGCGACGAUCCGUAGCGGGUCUGAGAGGAUGAUCCGCCACACUGGGACGGAGGCACGGCCCAGACUCCUACGGGAGGCAGCAGUGGGGAAUUUUGGACAAUGGGCGCAAGCCUGAUCCAGCCAUGCCGCGUGAGUGAAGAAGGCCUUCGGGUUGUAAAGCUCUUUCGGCGGGGAAGAAAUUGCUUAGGUUAAUACCUUGAGUAGAUGACGGUACCCGCAUAAGAAGCACCGGCUAACUACGUGCCAGCCGCCGCCGUAAAAC
rnacentral:rRNA from 1 species